UACGUAGGGUCCGAGCGUUGUCCGGAAUUACUGGGCGUAAAGAGCUCGUAGGUGGUUUGUCGCGUUGUUCGUGAAAACUCACAACUCAAUUGUGGGCGUGCGGGCGAUACGGGCAGACUUGAGUACUGCAGGGGAGACUGGAAUCCUGGUGUAGCGGUGGAAUGCGCAGAUAUCAGGAGGAACACCGGUGGCGAAGGCGGGUCUC
rnacentral:rRNA from 1 species